rnacentral:rRNA from 1 species
UACGAAGGGGGCUAGCGUUGUUCGGAAUUACUGGGCGUAAAGGGCGCGUAGGCGGUGUGUCAAGUCAGGCGUGAAAGCCCCGGGCUCAACCUGGGAACCGCGCUUGAGACUGGCACGCUAGAGUUCGGGAGAGGAUGGUGGAAUUCCCAGUGUAGAGGUGAAAUUCGUAGAUAUUGGGAAGAACACCGAUGGCGAAGGCAGCCAUCUGGACCGACACUGACGCUGAGGCGCGAAGGCGUGGGGAGCAAACAGG